rnacentral:sRNA from 1 species
AGAAUUCGGUCGAGCGUACUCCUCCUCCCAACGCUCCUCCGAUCAGAUUGGCAACACUCCUCCUCCCAGUUGCCAAUCACUUCAAAUGACGCUCGCUGGACCUCCUCCCCCAGCGGGCGUUAUUG